CACGUAGGGGGCGAGCGUUGUCCGGAUUUAUUGGGCGUAAAGAGCUCGUAGGCGGUUUGGCAAGUCGGGUGUGAAAUUUCGAGGCUCAACCUCGAAACGCCACUCGAUACUGCCAUGACUGGAGUCCGGUAGAGGAGUGCGGAAUUCCUGGUGUAGCGGUGAAAUGCGCAGAUAUCAGGAGGAACACCGGUGGCGAAGGCGGUUCUCUGGGAAUGUCCUGACGCUGAGGAGCGAAAGUGUGGGGAGCGAACAGG
rnacentral:rRNA from 1 species